rnacentral:rRNA from 1 species
UUGAACGCUGGCGGCAGGCCUAACACAUGCAAGUCGAGCGGUAACACAGAGAGCUUGCUCUCGGGUGACGAGCGGCGGACGGGUGAGUAAUGUCUGGGAAACUGCCUGAUGGAGGGGGAUAACUACUGGAAACGGUAGCUAAUACCGCAUAACGUCGCAAGACCAAAGUGGGGGACCUUCGGGCCUCAUGCCAUCAGAUGUGCCCAGAUGGGAUUAGCUAGUAGGUGGGGUAACGGCUCACCUAGGCGACGAUCCCUAGCUGGUCUGAGAGGAUGACCAGCCACACUGGAACUGAGACACGGUCCAGACUCCUACGGGAGGCAGCAGUGGGGAAUAUUGCACAAUGGGCGCAAGCCUGAUGCAGCCAUGCCGCGUGUGUGAAGAAGGCCUUCGGGUUGUAAAGCACUUUCAGCGGGGAGGAAGGCGGUGAGGUUAAUAACCUCACCGAUUGACGUUACCCGCAGAAGAAGCACCGGCUAACUCCGUGCCAGCAGCCGCGGUAAUACGGAGGGUGCAAGCGUUAAUCGGAAUUACUGGGCGUAAAGCGCACGCAGGCGGUCUGUCAAGUCGGAUGUGAAAUCCCCGGGCUCAACCUGGGAACUGCAUUCGAAACUGGCAGGCUAGAGUCUUGUAGAGGGGGGUAGAAUUCCAGGUGUAGCGGUGAAAUGCGUAGAGAUCUGGAGGAAUACCGGUGGCGAAGGCGGCCCCCUGGACAAAGACUGACGCUCAGGUGCGAAAGCGUGGGGAGCAAACAGGAUUAGAUACCCUGGUAGUCCACGCCGUAAACGAUGUCGAUUUGGAGGUUGUGCCCUUGAGGCGUGGCUUCCGGAGCUAACGCGUUAAAUCGACCGCCUGGGGAGUACGGCCGCAAGGUUAAAACUCAAAUGAAUUGACGGGGGCCCGCACAAGCGGUGGAGCAUGUAGUUUAAUUCGAUGCAACGCGAAGAACCUUACCUGGUCUUGACAUCCACAGAACUUUCCAGAGAUGGAUUGGUGCCUUCGGGAACUGUGAGACAGGUGCUGCAUGGCUGUCGUCAGCUCGUGUUGUGAAAUGUUGGGUUAAGUCCCGCAACGAGCGCAACCCUUAUCCUUUGUUGCCAGCGGUUAGGCCGGGAACUCAAAGGAGACUGCCAGUGAUAAACUGGAGGAAGGUGGGGAUGACGUCAAGUCAUCAUGGCCCUUACGACCAGGGCUACACACGUGCUACAAUGGCAUAUACAAAGAGAAGCGACCUCGCGAGAGCAAGCGGACCUCAUAAAGUAUGUCGUAGUCCGGAUUGGAGUCUGCAACUCGACUCCAUGAAGUCGGAAUCGCUAGUAAUCGUAGAUCAGAAUGCUACGGUGAAUACGUUCCCGGGCCUUGUACACACCGCCCGUCACACCAUGGGAGUGGGUUGCAAAAGAAGUAGGUAGCUUAACCUUCGGGAGGGCGCUUACCACUUUGUGAUUCAUGACUGGGGUG